GGGUUGAGACAGCCGGGAGCGGAGGGGAGUCGUCCCGAACCGUGAGCCCGCAGGUGCGGUCGUGCGCCGGAAGUUCCCCCUGGGCCCCUGCCCGAAAGGACAGGAGAAGGGUGUGAAGGGAACCGGCGCCCCAGAGACCUGCCGGUUAGUAAGACCCGGCGUCCCGAGGCGUGUUGCGCCUCAUACUAAAUACCAGAGACGCAAUGCGCCUCGGGACACCGUCUGCCUUUUGCGCUGCUGACACGCUCUGGCAGCACUUCGCGUCAUAAUAAAGUUAAGAUAUCACUUAACUAUCUGGCGCAUGUCGAUUUCGGCUCCGGCCGAUCGUC
rnacentral:misc_RNA from 1 species